AGCAGCCGCGGUAAUUCCAGCUCCAAUAGCGUAUAUUAAAGUUGUUGCAGUUAAAAAGCUCGUAGUUGAAUUUCGGGGUCAGUAGUCUGGUCGUGCCACUGGUAUGCACUGGUCUUACUGAUUCCUCCUUCCUGAUGAACCGUAAUGCCAUUAAUUUGGUGUUGCGGGGAAUCUGGACUGUUACUUUAGAAAAAUUAGAGUGUUUAAAGCAGGCUAACGCCUGAAUACAUUAGCAUGGAAUAAUGAAAUAGGACGAUCGAUCCUAUUUUGUUGGUUUCUAGGAUUGACGUAAUGAUUAAUAGGGAUAGUUGGGGGCAUUAGUAUUCAAUUGUCAGAGGUGAAAUUCUUGGAUUUAUUGAAGACUAACUACUGCGAAAGCAUUUGCCAAGGAUGUUUUCAUUAAUCAAGAACGAAAGUUAGGGGAUCGAAGACGAUCAGAUACCGUCGUAGUCUUAACCAUAAACUA
rnacentral:rRNA from 1 species